rnacentral:rRNA from 1 species
CAGUAGCCGCGGUAAUACGAAGGGUGCAAGCGUUACUCGGAAUUACUGGGCGUAAAGCGUGCGUAGGCGGCUUCUUAAGUCGGAUGUGAAAUCCCUGAGCUUAACUUAGGAAUUGCAUUCGAUACUGGGAAGCUAGAGUAUGGGAGAGGAUGGUAGAAUUCCAGGUGUAGCGGUGAAAUGCGUAGAGAUCUGGAGGAAUACCGAUGGCGAAGGCAGCCAUCUGGCCUAAUACUGACGCUGAGGUACGAAAGCAUGGGGAGCAAACAGGAUUAGAUACCCCAGUAGUCCCUGUCUCUUAUAC